UACGGAAGGCAGCAGUGGGGAAUAUUGCACAAUGGGCGCAAGCCUGAUGCAGCCAUGCCGCGUGUAUGAAGAAGGCCUUCGGGUUGUAAAGUACUUUCAGCGGGGAGGAAGGCGAUGCGGUUAAUAACCGCGUCGAUUGACGUUACCCGCAGAAGAAGCACCGGCUAACUCCGUGCCAGCAGCCGCGGUAAUACGGAGGGUGCAAGCGUUAAUCGGAAUUACUGGGCGUAAAGCGCACGCAGGCGGUCUGUUUAAGUCAGAUGUGAAAUCCCCGGGCUUAACCUGGGAACUGCAUUUUGAACUGGCAGGCUUGAGUCUUGUAGAGGGGGUAGAAUUCCAGGUGUAGCGGUGAAAUGCGUAGAGAUCUGGAGGAAUACCGGUGGCGAAGGCGGCCCCUGGGCAAAGCUGACGCUCAGGUGCGAAAGCGUGGGGAGCAAACAGGAUUAGGAUACC
rnacentral:rRNA from 1 species